rnacentral:rRNA from 1 species
ACACGUAGGGGCCUGACGUUGUUCGGAAUCAUUGGGCGUAAAGGGCGCGCAGGCGGCCGUCCAAGUCCGGUGUUAAAUGGUCGGGCUCAACCCGAUCAUGCGCUGGAAACUGGGCGGCUUGAGUCCCGUAGGGGAUGCCGGAAUUCCAGGUGUAGGGGUGAAAUCUGUAGAUAUCUGGAAGAACACCGAUGGCGAAGGCAGGCAUCUGGCCGGAGACUGACGCUGAGGCGCGAAGGCGCGGGGAGCGAACAGGUUUAGAUACCCUGGUAGUCCGCGCAGUAAACGAUGCGCACCAGGUGUCGGGCGGCAGCGCCCGGUACCGGAGCUAACGCGAUGAGUGCGCCGCCUGGGGAGUAUGCCCGCAAGGGUGAAACUCAAAGGAAUUGACGGGG